rnacentral:rRNA from 1 species
AUGCUUACUAAAAGCAGAAUUUUUUUAGUUAAAUCUUUAUGUUCCUUUUUGAUCAAUGAUGGAGUGGGAUUUCCACACAAAUUCUUGUGGAAAACGAACAUACCAUCAAAAAUCAAAAUGUUUUUUUGGCUUUUGGUUAGGAGAAGCAUUUUGACAAAAGAUAACUUGCUGAGGAAAGGAUGGAAAGGACCAAAAGAGUGUGUAUACUGUGGGAAGGAAGAGAACAUUGACCACUUAUUUUUUGAGUGCUCGGCGGCCAGAUUGGUCUGGAGCCUAAUCAAAUGUGCUUUUGAUCUUAGAUGUUGCCCAACCAAUCUCAAUGAUUACUUGGGAGGGUGGUUGAAAACCUUUAAGAAACCAGAGAAAAAAUUAGUAUUGGUGGGGAGUGCUGCCAUAUUCUGGGCUCUUUGGAAAUGUAGAAAUGACAUAAUUUUCAGACUGAGAAAAAUUCAUGAUCCAAUGAUUUUCAUUCGUCUGAUGUGUAAUUGGAUUGUGGACUGGUCGAUUUUGCAGAGAAAAAAGCCGGAGAAAAGACUACUGCAGCCGGGAGCAAAACUAAUCGAGCGGGUAGCAAGUGAUAUAUACAAGGCAACGCAGGGGUGGAGGUUGGGAGUUCGGCGGCUGGAGGCUUAA